UACGAAGGGGGCUAGCGUUGCUCGGAAUCACUGGGCGUAAAGCGCACGUAGGCGGCCGCCCGCGCCCGCCGUGAAAGCCCCCGGCUCAACCGGGGAGGGUCGGCGGGGACGGGGCGGCUUGAGGACGGCAGGGGCCGGUGGAAUCCCCGGUGUAGUGGUGAAAUGCGUAGAGAUCGGGGGGAACACCCGUGGCGAAGGCGGCCGGCUGGGCCGUUCCUGACGCUGAGGCGCGAAGGCGUGGGGAGCGAACGGG
rnacentral:rRNA from 1 species